GCCGUUAUUCCCAUCACUGUUCAUUACUAAACUUUUAGUAAUGAAACAGACUAUUGCAACUCAGCUUCAAGCUUACCUUCAAAACAAUAACCUCUACAAACCUUUUCAGUCAGGUUUUUGCCAGUAUCAUAGCACUGAAACAGCUCUGGUAAAAAUUACUAAUGAUCUUCUAGUUGCAGCUGACAAUGGCCUUUUAUCCAUCCUGAUCCUUCUCUACCUUACCGUAGACUUUGACACCAUCUCCCAUUUAAUUCUGUUGGAACAUUUGGCUGUUAUAUUGGGAUCACUAAUAAAGCACUAGUCUGGUUCAGGUCGUACACAAUAGAAAAUAUUUCAUUCAGGCAAAAAAUGUUGCAUCAGAAAUUGCUACAGUUACUCAUGGUGUUCCUCAGGGUUCAGUGCUGGGACCAUUGCUUUUUAUCAUCUACAUAUUACCUCUGAGCAAUAUCUUUGUCAUUUUGGGAUCAAUUUUCACUGCUACGCCGAUGAUACAACUCUAGCUUUCCACAAAACCAAACACUUCUCUUCCUCCCUAUGCUCUCACUUCUUGUCUACAAGCUAUCAGCAACUGGAUGUCAAUCAACCUUCUCAAACUCAAUGAAAAUAAAAGUGAGGUUUCACAUUUCUCAGUAGCGUGGUGGUAGCGUCACUGUUUUCUGAAUGAAAUUGCUUCGAUGGUGAAAUUAUUUUGUUGAUCAAGUAGUGCCGUAGCAUCCACACAGGCUACAUUUUCCUAAAAUCGGAAAUACAAUUACUACAAUCAUUGAUCCUGGAUCAGUAAGUGAUGCUACCGCCAUACACGGACCUGUGUAGCUGACAGAAGUACUUCCGAAACCUGAGGCUAGAACAGCCAAUGCGCACACAUUCUUAAGCGCGUUAUGACUGUGCAUGCGCAUUGGCUGGGCUAGUCUGAAAAAUAAGCUUUUUAAAUGCUAUUUGAGCAUUAGAAACAACAUUCACGGGGCAGUUCAUUUCAGAUUGUGUUGCUGAUUUGAAAUCUGUAAUUUAAUUGCGAGUUCAGCUAGCAGUUUUUGAGAUUUCAGGAUUCCCUAAUUCAUUUAGAUAGGACUAAGUCUUGUUUGAGCUGCCCAGAGGCAUUGCAAAUACAGACUUUCCUUGAAAGAGACUUUAUCAAGGAUCAAAUCUAUCGAUAAACCAUGGCAAACAGCGAAUAGCUUUUUAAUGCAUUUGAGACGUGCUUUCCUCAGUGCAUAACUGACAUGUCACAGCUAUAUUCUUCAUCUGUAAAAGUCAUACAAAUAUAAACCAUUUAGCUGGUAGGAGUGGACGAGGCUUACACGAGUGAACAAGCACUGCUGCACACGUGUGCUAAACAGACGGAGCGCAAUACUUAGCACGAUAAUUCUGAGUAAAAUAUACAUUUUGCUCAAAUAUUUGUUGUAUAUUAAAUGUACCUCAUGUAGAAUUUUAAACCUACAUAUAUUGUGUAUUUUUAUGAUGGCUCUAACGAGAGCUAAAGAGCUAUUGUAAUGGGUAAACCAAAUGUAAGCUAAUACAGUCCCAAUUAUGCUACUAACCUCAAAUGAGUUAAUGUGUGUUCCUCUUACCAGUUCAAAUGUAGUUUGUUUUUUAUGAUUUAUUUGAAUUUUUAUUUAGUGAUUUUAACUUUUAAUUUAGUGAUUUUAAUUCUUUAAAGAACAAUUUUACACUGUAAUGUAAUGUAGUAAUACCCAUAAAAGGUACAGCUGUCAUAAAACCAUGUUAUUAAAUCUUGGGUACAAUACAUGAAAUACAGUCGGUUGUAGUCUAUAUUUAUUUAUUUGAUUUAUUAUUUAAGCUGCAUUUUCUGCAUUCUUUUAUUUUUGGACUGAUAGUGGUUAAUACAGUCAAAUAAUGGUAUGUGAAAGAGUCAGUGGUAAUAUCAUUGUGUUCCUAUUGGUCAGUAGAGUAAUUCAGUUUAGCCUGACAGUUAGCCUGCCCCAGACCAGGUUAGUUUCCCAGCAUAAAUUGCCAGAGUAACUAUAUAUAUAUAAAUUGGACCAAACUCAGCCAGUUUAGCUACAAGCUCUGCUUGAUGUAGGAUAAUGCAAGUUUAUAGACUUUACAUAGGUUUUCCUGAGAACUUAUGCCUUUUCGUCUGAUGUAUGAUUAAGACCCUACAGGUGGAGGAGAAGGAAGAAAGAUGGAGCUGGAUGAACAGUUGGAGGCAGGGCAGAGUGAAAGAGUGGAGAAGGACAGGCGAGAGUCAAGCGAAAGACAGGAGAAGCAUGCAGAGGAAACUGAGGGAGUGAUUGAGCACAGUGGCAGUAGAGAACAUGAGGCAGAGGGCAAGGGCAAAAACCACUGAUCAAAAUAUAGAGGGAAACAUUAAAGCAUUGUGGCCCAAAACAGGUUAAGUUGUCCCAAUAUCCCCAGCACAACUUUGGGUUAAAAUAAGCAAUCUUUUAAUCCAAACUGGUUUGGAAGCUUUCCCUGGUUGGAAUAUUCUGGAAUAUUUUUUUUUUUUUUUUCAUGUAGGAUGUUUGGUAAAAAUAUGAAACAUGACACCUUUGUUACCACUGGCUCAACAAAUCGAGAAAAAAAAAAAAAAGCUCUAGAUCUCUUUAGGGACCAUGAGAAAACACCUGCCCAUAAAGCAAUCAUGCUUUCCUGACACAGCUUUAAAGCCAGUGCUGCUUAUGGCAGUGUAAUUGAACAACUGCACACAGCAAAUGAGGCAGAAAUAAAAGACAAUUGGGAGUACCUCACCUGUAUUGUGGCUAUGACACAAUUCAUGGCCAAACAAAACAUUACCUUCCGUGGCCAUGAUGAGGGAAGCUCCAGCCAAAACCAAGGGAAUUUUCUGGAGUGUCUAAAUCUCCUAAAACAGUUUGACCCUUUUUUGCAAUCCUAUUCAGCCACAUCACACAGUACUUCCUUAUCAACUGCAUCUCAAAAUAGUUAACUGAGUGCUGUGUUGAAGGGGUUACAGCAAGUAUCGUCAGGGAGGCAGGGAUGUUUUCAGUUAUGGCAGAUGAAGCCAGAGAUGGCAGUACUGAACAUUUGGCCAUAUGCAUUCACUAUGUUGCAGAAGAGACAGUGAAGGAGUGCUUGCUUGCAAUGACGACACUAAAAGAGUUUGAUGCACAAUCCAUCACUGCUUCUAUACAAGAGUAGCUAAUGUGUCAUGGUAUUGAUGAGCUUAAGUGCGUAGCACAGUCAUAUGAUGUGUGUGACACUCUUAAGCAGAUGCACACAGAUGAUACUGUCAGGACCAUUUGUGCAGCAAAUCAGAUCCCAGAGCCAUGCACUAUUACUAAACAAAGGCAGAAGCGCAUGGAGGUUUAAGUAGUGGACUUUAGUUGUGGAGCAGUGAGUGACCUCAGUGAUGCAGAGAAGCUGAAAAGAAACCUGUUUCUACCUUGCGUUCACAGAAUGGUGUCUGAGAUGGAGCAACGUUUUUCAUCUCUUAAUGGGCUGGGUGCCCCCUGCCUGUGAGAGGAGAUCCCUCCUGAUGGAGAGCCGUCGAGGAGAGAAAUCAGGUCCGAGAACCAUACUCGGCCCGGCCAGAAUGGGGCUACUAGUAGCAGCCGAACCCCGUCCCGGUGCACUCUCGCCAGAACUCCGGGAAGCAGAGCAAUCGGGGGAAAGGCGUACAGACAAAGCCUCGACCACGCCUGUACCAUGGCAUCCAGCCCCAAUGCAGCUGGAUGAACUAGAGAGUACCAGAGGGGACAUUGCGCUGUCUCCUGAGUAGCGAAGAGGUCCACCUGUGCCUGGCCAAACACCCUCCAGGUCUGCUUCAUCACCUCGGGGUGAAGCAUCCAUUCCCCGGGCCACGGCCCCUGUCUUGAUGCCCAGGGAUGUAAACUGCUUUCAGUGAGAGGAGUUUGCCCUGGGACCACACAAGGAUCUGGUGCGCCAGCCUGUACAGGUGUAUCCUUGGUGGUUGAUAUAAGAGACCACCGCUGUAUUGUCGGUGCACACUGACAUGUGGCAAUCUCUUAGGUCUGGGAGAAAGUGUUUCAGAUGAGGCCUCAGGGCUUCUUGGCCGAAGACCUCUUCGCCUGAAGAACGGUCCACAGAUCCGGCUUAGGCUGCGAGGUACUCGACCGAGAGCCCUUCUUACUGCCCCGGCCCCAAUUUUUUUUCUUUGGGGGAGCACGGGCAGCGACACUCUCUUUCUGAGCCUCACUAUAUGAGGAGCCAGUACGCGGCAGGGGCUGCACUCGCCCAGCAGCCCCCUGAGCUAGAGAGCGGCGAGGGAGAAACCGCUGGAACGCCGCCGUUUGCCUCCUGGCCUCCUGGUGCCUGUCGAUAACCGAGUCAACAGCGUCACCGAAAAGGCCAAUAGGCGACAGCGGGGCGUCCAAGAGGAAGACCCUGUCGUGGUCUUUGAUAUCCGACAGGGUCAACCAGAGAUGCCUCUCCGCCACCGCCAGGGCUGCCAUAGACCCCGAUAGCACGAGCGGUCUCUUUGGUGGCGCGGAGAGACAAAUCAGCGGUUUUGCGGAGUUCACUAAUAUCCUCCGCACUAAAACCCUCACCCUCAUCUAACUCCUUGAGCAGAUCAGCCUGGUAUGCUAUUUCAAAAGAUUCCCCGGGACAAAUCAGCAGAUGCGUCUUUUACAUCCAAUUAGGGCGGAGUCACCUAAGAGCGAGAGAGAGAGAAAAAACUAUAUCCCUAGACGUAACAACACUAAAACAAGUUCAUCUUUGCGCACACACUAAAGCUUUAAAUGGGUCAUGAAUGAAGCCUGCAUCAAUGAGGCCAUUGAAGACACCACUCUUUGGAUUUAUGUUCUCAAACAACAUGCUUCUGAUGAACCCAGUAGCGUGUUUAGGCGCCACGCACUCCACACAAUUGCGUGGGGCCCCGCGGUCCAGGGGGGGCCCCCGCGGAACGCGAUUUCUUUCGAUGGGAAUCGAGAACCGGUAUUUUUUUGGACUGGUGCGUAAUUUGGUCAAUACCGGAGUACCAAUAAGCUUCAGCACAAUCAAUACUUGCGUUGUUGUAUCUCUGUAUACUUCUGUGUUAAUGGCGAAUUAGAAGCUGUUCUCAUAAACAAUCUCAAUCUCUGUCUGGCGCGGGUAAAAUAAUUAUAAUGCUGAAGGUGAGGUAGAAUUCAUAUUUCUUUAUUAAAUAAGUUACAAAAUAAUUUAAAAACUCUCUGUGAGGCGUAAUUUUACAAACAGCACAAGUGAAUCUCCGCGAGCUGUCUUUCCCUCUCAAAAUGCGCAGAUGGCUUUAAAUCAUUAGGCGAGUUAGCCGCAACGCGUCGGUGCACAAAUGUGUUAUUUUUCAAUUCUAACGCCAUGUGAAUAAAGGCUUUUUAAUUUUUUCACACUAUUUGAGUGCCUUGGAUUUAUGAGUUUUUUUGAUGAUACGAAAGAAUCCCGCAUCCAAAGAGCACCAAUUAAUGGACUUUUUACACCCCAGCAGCACUUUUUUGCAUAACUUUGAAUAUAAGAAACAAUAUGUUAUUUGAACAAUUACCUUCCUGAGCCAUCAAUGUGGCAUUAUUAUUAUUUUUUCAUUAAUUAUAUAGAAUUCCAAGUACCACAAAACUGCUUGUCCCCACAGCCAUGUACAGAGGGAAAGUGCUUUAUUUUGAGGUCAAAAACAGGAUUUUCUGCCAUUUAAAAUACAAAAGUCUAUUCAUAACUAUCAAAUAUAUGAUAUAAAUGGCAUAAAACAAAAUUACAAAAAAAUAUUAUAAAAUAUAUAAUGAAAAUAGUGGUCCCCUGGAGUUGACGUUACCGCUUAACAAAAGUCUUUUAUUUUGACAUCACUUGACUUCCUCCUUCCUAUUUUCUAAAGAUCUAUGAAAUGUUUCUCUUCAGUUAUGAUAAAUUUUCGGUAACACUUUAUAAUAACUGCACACUAUGAAUCAUUAGUUAAGAAUUAGUAAAUAGUCAAUUCAUCAUUUAUAAAGCAUUGUUCCAACAUUAAUAGGCAUUAGUAAGCAGUUUAUAAAUACAGCUAUAAAUGUU